rnacentral:rRNA from 1 species
AGUAGUUUGACUCCGUGGCUCGAGGACGAACGCUGGCGGCGUGCUUCAUACAUGCAAGUCGAACGAGAAGCUGACUUCGGUCAGUGGAAAGUGGCGGACGGGUGAGUAAUAUGUAGAGAAUCUGCCCUAGAGUGGGGGACAACCGUUGGAAACGACAGCUAAUACCCCAUAUGAGCGUAGCUGAGAUGCUAUUCUUGAAAACUCCGGUGCUCUGGGAUGAGUCUGCAUCUGAUUAGCUAGUUGGCGGUGUAAUGGACCACCAAGGCGACGAUCAGUAGGGGUUCUGAGAGGAAGGUCCCCCACAUUGGAACUGAGACACGGUCCAAACUCC